CAGACAGUUCUUUCCUAUAGCAAGGAAAGCACGGAGCCCCAGUGCCCCAGGAGCUGAUGAGAGGCAGCCCUUGACAUCCCAACAUCAGCCAGACCUGUCAGGUGGCUCCUGGGAGGCCAAGCCAGCCAGAGCUGCUCCGUGUUCCCUCAGUUCCAUGGGGCCCCACUGUGUCCCAAUGGUCCCUAGCUUCCAUGAGGCCCUGAGGUGUCAUAAUGCCCCCUUGGUGACUCGAGACCCUGAAGGGUCUUAAUGGUCUCCAUGGUUCCAUCAGGCCCCACAGAGUCAUAAUGGUCUCUGGGUUCCAUGAAGCCCUGCUGUGUCACCAUGGCCCCUUGGUUCCAUGGGCUCCAGUGGUGCCACAAUGAUCCCCUUGGUUUCAUGAGGUCCCCACCAUGUCCUAGUGAACUCCAUGGGAAGUAAAGAACCAAGCCCCAAUGUUGCAGGGCCAGUCACCAGAGGCCAAGGCCAGCCAAACUUGGAGGGGUCUUUGUCUAAACAACAAUUGGUGACCCCUGGACGUGUGAAACUGAUGGUCACCCCAGGAGUGACCACGGAGUCCAGCCUGGAGCUGAAGAAACGAGACCCUGAAGAUGGGCAGAGUUCACAGCCAAGGCAAACAGGAGAACCUGUUGGACUUGCCUGGACAUUGUGUCCAGAGACUGCAGAGCAGAAGAGCUGCACAGCUGGAUCCACAAGGACACUGUCUAAAGACUCCGGAGGAGAGUCGGCCGCUGCGCCCAGCCCGGCG